ACGCUCGACACCUACGGGAGGCAGCAGUUGGGAAUAUUGGACAAUGGAGGAAACUCUGAUCCAGUGACGCCGCGUGAAGGAAGAAGGUCUUCGGAUUGUAAACUUAUUUUGUCAGGGAAGAAAAAAUGACUGUACCUGAAGAAAAAGCACCGGCUAACUACGUGCAAGCAGCCGCGGUAAUCUGGAGCGGGCUGGCAAGGC
rnacentral:rRNA from 1 species